rfam:Charadrius vociferus contig76679, whole genome shotgun sequence.
GCUGUGAUGGCUGAGGGGUGAAGGCAUUGGACCUGAAAUCCAAUGGGGUUUCCCUGUGCAGGUUCAAAUCCUGCUCACAGUG